rnacentral:rRNA from 1 species
AUUGAACGCUGGCGGCAUGCUUUACACAUGCAAGUCGAACGGCAGCGCGGGCUUCGGCCUGGCGGCGAGUGGCGAACGGGUGAGUAAUGCAUCGGAACGUGCCCAGUAGUGGGGGAUAGCCCGGCGAAAGCCGGAUUAAUACCGCAUACGACCUGAGGGUGAAAGCGGGGGACCGAAAGGCCUCGCGCCAUUGGAGCGGCCGAUGUCGGAUUAGCUAGUUGGUGGGGUAAAGGCUUACCAAGGCGACGAUCCGUAGCUGGUCUGAGAGGACGACCAGCCACACUGGGACUGAGACACGGCCCAGACUCCUACGGGAGGCAGCAGUGGGGAAUUUUGGACAAAGGGGGCAACCCUGAUCCAGCCAUGCCGCGUGCGGGAAGAAGGCCUUCGGGUUGUAAACCGCUUUUGUUCGGGAAGAAAUCCUCUGGGCUAAUACCCCGGGGGGAUGACGGUACCGGAAGAAUAAGCACCGGCUAACUACGUG